AGAGAGUGUGAGGAGGCCCCUCCCACCCACAUCCGGGCAAACCCGGGGCCCGCUGAGCGUCAGGGAAAGGGGGCGGUCACGUGACGCGCUGCGCGGCGGCCAUCUUAGAAUCGGCGGAGAAUCCGCAGCGACGGCGACGAUUGAGAGGCGGAGACGGACUAUCCUGAUUCACCGGAGAUCUGUUUCUCUUAGGUGGUGGUGAGACGUCAGGUCAUCAGAAUAAUUCUCUACAAAGCUAUUUUUAGUUGUAUUGCAGUUUGAUUCACAUCUGGAAUCCUGUCCUGACAGAAACUAGAAAGGACACGGAGUUGAUAUCCACAGCUUUCUGAUGCCCUAGUCUCUAUGGCUGCCAGCGCUCGACUUCGAGUCAGACGCUGUCCCCACCAAAAUCUGAACUAAAGCAUUAACUUCAAGCACAGGUGCUGAGACCAAUUGUAGUAACCCCUCCCCGCAAUCAUCCUUGAAGACAGUGUGUAACCAGCUGAGCUACUGGGGAAAUUUGAAGUAAGCCAGAGUGUUUUGUAAACUAUAAAGGGAAUUACCUUCAGACCAAUUCAUCUGUUGUAUUAGCCACUCAGAAGAACAUAUCUUGGGGAGUCUCCAACGCCGGUUGUAGGUUGGGGAACCUGACCUGUGGUCAAGGUAGGUGACAUUCUCC